UGGCACUAUCGCUUGUGCGCGACGGAGCAUUGGCCCUCGCCAGGCAACAAAAACAAAUCUCAAAGGCUAUGCUUUUGGUGCCCGCGUGCGCUGAAAGCGAGUAUACGAAAGCUACAGUACGUCACAGCCGCCAUGUAGUAACAGUAAUCUCAGAGGCUAUAAUUUUCUGCCCUUAAAGUGCCAAAAGCCUUAGCAGAAACACAAAACGCGAAAAUCGAACAACGAAUAUUUCCAAAAUAAGUAAAUAUUUCACUGUGUAAUAAUAAAAUACUUUAAAAAUUUAUUUAAGUUUGCGUAGAUGCACGUUGAUGCGUUAUAGGCCCUUUGCAAAGCAGAAGCCUUGCAGUGAUCCAAUCCAAGCCAAGCCAUCGUUGUCACGGCGUCUUUCAUUGUGCGAUUGUUUCAAGGGCAGCGCAACAGCGGACGUGUGUUGAUUCGUUUGUCACUUUCCGUGCCUGCCAAAGUCUCCUGCUCCUGCAGCUAAUAAGGUGCCAACAUGCUUAGGCUUAAGGAGAAGCCUUAUACGCGAAAGAGAGCGUCGCUGGAGACAAAGAUGCUAUUCGAGGACUUUGGAUCUCGCACCGGCAGCCAGCAGUCAACGGCUCGAGAAGUCGCAAGUGCAGAAAUGUGCAGUGGCGCAUGUACUACUCACGCAUGUGUUAACACGUGUGGUCGUGCUGUACCUGCAAACAUUUGUGUGCCUUGCGACUCUGGCCGCUGCACCGAGGCGACAUCAGAAGUUCAGGCCGCUGGUUGUGACACUGCGCGCACUACGGACAAUGUACCUUGCUUCCUUGAUGGAUCCACUCUAAGCGACUCUUCGGAUGGUUCACUUGGCUCGCCUGUGAGAGCGUCACAAGAGGAUCCCUUAGGAGAGGUGAGUGUGGGUUCUCUGGUUAGCAGGACCCCGGAGCCUACAUUUGAUUUAGCUACCGCGGACUCUUCAUCGGUGCCCUCUGACUUUGCUGAACGACUGCGCAGUUGGGCUAUUAAGGAAAAUGUUACGCAUACAGCGGUCACAUCACUGCUAAAGAUGCUCAAGACGAGUAGCUUUGACCCCUCAUCUCUCCCAAGUGACGCUCGCACUUUGCUCUCCACGCCCAGGGGUACACAACGUGCACCUGCUUUAACUGACAUGGCUCCUGGGCAAUACUGUCACUUUGGCUUGCAGUGCAGUCUAGAAAAUGCCUUGUCGGAAGCAUGUUUUAAGGGCAGCCAUGUUUCUUUGUUGUUUAAUAUUGACGGACUGCCAAUUUCUAAGAGUUCUAACAUGCAGUUGUGGCCAAUACAGUGCAUGAUUGGUGAGCAUGGCAGAGUUUCACCCUUUGUAGUCGGCAUUUUUGCUGGGCCUUCAAAGCCUGUUUCAGCGAAUGAUUUUCUGAGCCCCCUUGUCAGUGAGCUGCAGCAGCUUCUUUCGCAUGGAAUGGUUUUUGAGCACCGGGUAAUUAAGGUUUCGUCAACUUGUUUUGUUUUAGAUGCACCAGCACGGUCAUUUGUUUUUCAAAUUAAAGGACACACUGGAUAUUCUGGGUGCCCAAAGUGCACAGUAGAGGGCACAUACAGCAACAACCGACUCAGCUUUCCAGCGAGGUCCUCCACUUUGCGCACCGAUGAUUCAUUCAGGCGUCAGACUGACCCUGACCAUCACCUAGGCACCUCAGUUUUGAUGACGCUUCCCAUAGACUGUGUCGCCUCUGCACCCCUUGACUACAUGCACCUUUUAUGUCUGGGCAUUAUGAAAAAGUUGCUUAGUGCUUGGUUAGGUGGCCGUUUAGAGGUCCGUCUCGGACCUGCAGAACGAAGACGGUUGUCUGACUUAAACCUAUCUUUAGCUCCUAAUGUACCUAAAGAAUUUUCCCGCAAACCUAGAAGUGUAGCAGAGGCUGAGCGUUGGAAGGCCACAGAAUUCAGACUACUACUUCUCUACACUGGGCCUGUAGUACUCAUGCCUGUUCUACCUCCUGAUCUUUACAUGAACUUUCUUUCGCUGCACUGUGCAGUGUACAUUCUGGCAAGUCCUAGCCUGUGCCAGCAGCAUACUGAUUAUGCCGAGUCUCUUCUUAAGUACUUUGUUAAAACUUUUGCAAGAUUGUAUGGAAAUGACCAGGUUUCCUACAAUGUUCACUGUGCAUUACAUGUUGCAAAUGAUGUACGCAAGCACGGACCACUGGACAUGUUCAGCGCAUUUCCUUUUGAAAAUAAUAUGCAGUACCUCAAGCGGCUUCUAAAAAGCCACAAGAUUCCACUUGCCCAGCUGUACAACCGCUUAAAGGAGCGAGAGGGAAAGGGGGCGGCAACCUUUCCAUCACUGAACGCGAUUAAAUUUACAAAAGAACAUUCAGAUGGGCCUCUCCUAGGUACCUGUGCACCACCCCAGUACAAACAGGCCACGUUUGCUAGCUUCAUCCUCAGUGUAGAUGUUCCUGAUAACUGCUGCAUAAUAGAUGGCUCUGUCGUGAUUGUAGAUAGUUUCGCACACUUUAGAGCUACACAAGCACCUUGCAUCAUUGGUCGCGAAUUCAUGGUGAAGGAAAACUUCUAUGAUAAGCCAUUUUCUUCUUGUACCAUUGAUGUUUAUGUGGUUUCACAGCUUUCUGAUGUUAAAUGUUGGCCAUUAAGGAAUGUGCGUAAGCUUGUCAGGUUACCCUGGCAUGGGAAAUUUGUUAUAAUUCCAUUGCUGCAUAUGUCUUAAUCGCAGGUGUUAUACCUGUGCCACACGGGCGAGGUUAAUGGCAUUAAAUGUUUAAGACCUAAGUUUCUUAAUGCCAUUAUAUUUCGGUCGCUGCUACAUGCGCAUACUUAAUGACAUUAAGCUUUACGAUGGCGAUAGAUGCAGUGGAAUGGUCAAGUUUGUUUGCAGGGCGAAAUGCGAAAACACCCGUGUACUUAGAUUUAGGUGCACGUUAAAGAACCCGAGGUGGUCAAAAUUUUCGGAGUCCUCCACUACGGCGUGCCUCAUAAUCAGAAAGUGGUUUUGGCACGUAAAACCUCAAAUAUUAUCUAUUAUUAUUAAAUCGUAAUACAAUAAAAAACAGUCAUCUAGGGAGCAGAUGUUUAAUUAAUUGGCAUAUUGUAUGUAGUUUACUUCUGGAAUGUCAUUGUUACACCCAGCCGUAAACUGUUUGAAGCCAAAGCUAGCUCGACGGCCAAUCCAUAGCGUAGCCAAAGCAUUGAAAUUGGAAAAAUAGCGCUCACAGCUUCAAAGCUCCCAAGCAGCGAUCCUGAAAAAUGUGACCGUGUGCUCCAGUUUGUUCUGACAUACGUGCUUCGAGUCGAGCAUCGUUGAGAAAUUCGAAGGCUUCAGUAUGAGGCCAACAAGGCAAGUAGCCGCCGCUGUGCAAUCGAACAGCUUCUCCUGGCUAAUGCGCUCACGAUUAGAGCUGUGGCCGUGAGUAGCGCCAAGAUCGCCUGCUGAUCUCUACGAAAAUAAAAAGCUCCUUUUAAAAAAGUGAAGAAUGUAUUAGUUGUUUUGAUCUACAAGUUUGUUUAAUAUCGUGAGGAUAUGGUCACUGCAGCCACGGCGGGAACAUUGUAAAUGAGAGUACGCAUUCGAUGGCCAAGUGAGUUUCAAUAAUUGUAAGAACUCACUACGCCGCAAGAGAGAGCUAUUUUUUAAAGAAAGUCAAGAAUAUAUUAAUUGUUCUUCACUAAUAGUUCGUUUAGUCACGUCAGAUUGGGGAGACAUUGGGAACCAGAGUACGCAUUCGACGGCAAAGUGAGUUACGAGAACGCACUACAUUGCGAAUGGCAUUUAAGCUUGAAUACCAUUAAGCAUGUCCGUGUGGCACCCCGCAAAUUACAUUAAAGUUUAAGGCAUUACCCAGUUAAUGUCAUUUUAUGUGCCCGUGUGGCAGGGAUAUGAGUGCUAUUCAAGUGAUGUAGUCAAGAUUAAUUCCUUCAUGUCAUUUCUGUUGCUUUCGCAGUUUAGUAAUGCUAAUUCAUGUCUUUUUGCUCUCUUUCUUUCAGCAUUCUGGGCUCCGUUGGAGCCCAGAAUGCUCCGUUGGAUUUUGUGUUUGUCUGCGUAUAACUACAGCCUUCAGUACAGGCGAGGCCAAGAAAACUUCAACGCAGACGCACUCAGUUGUCUGCCAGCUCCGGGAGACGAAGACGAGCCACAGCUACCUGGGGACGUGCUCCUGUUGGAAGCAGUCGAGUGCGCACCGCUGCAGGCGGCAGACAUCGCUGCGCUGAUCAAGAAGGACAAAGUAUUGUCCAUGGUAAAGGACUGGAUCCUUAGUGGCUGGCCGUCAACACAACUGGACAGCAAGUUCGCGCCUUACGAGGUGAGGAAGACGGAGUUGUCGUUGCAUCGUGAUUGCAUACUGUGGGGGAAUCGCGUUGUAAUUCCUCACGCAGCAAGAGAAAGUGUGCUUCAACUCCUACAUGCAAAUCACCCUGGGAUGAGUGCUAUGAAAGCGUCAGCUAGAGGGCUCAUGUGGUGGCCGAAAAUGGACCACGAAAUUGAAGAGUUUGUACGACACUGUCAGCCAUGUCAUAGUAACCGGCAAAGUGAUCCCAAGGUUCCAGUGCAUUUUUGGAUCAAUCCAGAUCAACCUUGGAGUCGCCUACACAUUGAUUUCGCUGGUCCAGUUAAUGGAGAAGUAUUUUUAAUCGUGGUAGACGCGUACAGCAACUGGGCUGAGGUCGAAAUCAUGUCAUCCAUAAAAGCUACAGCUGUCGUCACCAGCUUAAGGAAGAUGUUUGCGACACACGGUAUGCCAGACGUUAUCGUUUCGGAUAAUGGCACAGCAUUCACUAGCUCGGAGUUGCAAACGUUUUUAAAGUGCAAUGGUGUGCGUGCUAUUUUCACUGCUCCUUACAAUCCCGCCAGUAAUGGCAGGGUGGAGAGAAUGGUAAGAGAAGUUAAAGAAGCAACAGGAAGGUUCAACGCAGUGCAAGAUUUCACGGUUCCUGUUUAAACAGCACACGACGCCGCAUUCGGUCACGGGGAAAUCUCCGGCAGAAUUGAUGUUCGGACGAAGGCUGAGGACAGCCUUGGACAGACUUCAUCCGGACCGGCAAUACGUGCCGGAACCGCAACGACCGGAGAUUAAGAGGUUCCAUGUCGGUAACGCGGUCUAUGCUAAAAGCUUCUGUCCAGGUCCAAGGUGGAAGGCGGUCAGGGUUGUGGCAGUGCGAGGCCUGGUGUCGUACAUCGUCCAGUUGGACAACGGCGAACGCCAUCACAGGCACCGGAACCAGUUGAGGAGCGCCUGGACGAGGCUCGAAGCCGAUCCAGUCUGAAGUGCAGACUACCACGUCAGGCUGCCUCCUACAGCCAGACGACCACAACAGCCGCCGGUCAGCACGGAAGCAGCCGCAGGGGCAAGACCGGGCCAAGCUACCCAAGACCCGGUCGAGACGCGAAGAUCAACACACGUUAGACGGCCUAUCGCACGUUAUGGCAUUGAUGACUAACCAGACAUUUUGCAAUUGUGUAACGAAUCUUAGGGGAAAGGAAUAUUGUAUAUUGAUAUCGCGUGUCAUACUACAUUUUCAUGAUAAUCGCUUAUCGGCCACGCAAGCAUCAGUCGGCAGAUCACAUGUUCAUCACCCUAUAAAAAGGGCACGGCAUCAAUAGACGUCUGUUCCACCCUGGCGUCCGGCUAAUACGCUACACUUUCUUUUCGAGAGCAGUUUACUGUUGUUAACAAUUUCUCUUCCCCGACUUCUGUUAGCUCUGGUGUGCCACAAGGCAGCGUCCUCGGCCCCUUACUCUUCUCAAUCUCCAUUAACGACUUACCCGCCCAGAUUACUUCCUGCAUGCGCCUUUUUUCCGAUGACUGCAUAAUCUACCGUCCUAUUCACACGACUGACGAACUUCAAGCAGAUCUUAACCUUAUCGCUAACUGGUGUAACAAAUGGCUCAUGACACUAAACUGUACAAAGUGCGAGGUGAUGUGCUUCAGCCGAAAAUGUGUAAGUUCUAAAAAUUCAUAUCAUCUUAAUAACACUAUGUUUUCCCACACUUCAUCAUAUAAGUACCUUGGUGUUGUUCUUGCAGAGAAUCUUUCAUGGACCCCACACAUCACUUCUACAUACACCAAAGCAUCACAUUCUCUUGGCUAUCUACGGCACAACUUGCGAAAUGCCCUGCCAAACAUUCGAAAACUCGCUUUCCACACAUUCAUUUUGCCACAGUUAGAAUUCGCCUCCCCAAUUUGGUCCCCUCAUCAAAAUUACCUAAUAAAUAUGACGGAAAUGAUACAAAACAGAGCAGCCCGGUUCAUAUCCCAUAACUACAGUAGAAACUCAAGCAUUACACAAAUUAGACUAGACCUACUGUUGCUGCCAUUAGAUGUCCGCCGCAACAUCGCUCUUCUCUGCUUAUUCCACAAAUAUAUUUACACUAAUAAACGAACCCGGUUACAAAUACAAAUACCACACUCUUUUUCACGCAGAUUACAUAAUCAGUUGAGUUUCAUGCGCACAUAUGCUAAAACAAAUGCAUUUAAUUCAUCUGCACUACCACGUGUCAUUCGUCUCUGGAAUGACCUCCCUGAUAACACAGCCUCCAUAUCUAAUCCCGACACGUUCAGCUCUCAGUUACUCAUGCUUUUCCCAUUUAAUACCAUUCACGAGUGACAAAUCUAGUGUAUGUUAUCGUGUAUUUUUGCCAUGUUGUAUAUCAUUUUCAGAAACGGUAUUCCUUUGGUCUGUUAACAGUAACAAGUGUUCAUGUGCCUUCAGAUAUUGCUUUGUAUUCCUAGUGCCUUCAAUAUUGUGUAACACGGUAAUCUCUUUCUGGCAGUGUUCCUCUUGGAAAUUUGAACGUUUUAUAUCUUUACUGUUUAAUAUGCCCCCCUUAAUUACUUUAUGCCCUGCCAUAAGGCCUGUAAGGUUCUUUUGAAUAAAUAAAUAAAUAUUUGCUUUUUGGCCUUUAUAUGUAGAUGUAUGAGGUGACAAUAAAAGAUUAAUUGUAUUUGGAA